rnacentral:rRNA from 1 species
AGUGAACGCUGGCGGUAGGCCUAACACAUGCAAGUCGAACGGCAGCACAGUAAGAGCUUGCUCUUACGGGUGGCGAGUGGCGGACGGGUGAGGAAUACAUCGGAAUCUACUUUUUCGUGGGGGAUAACGUAGGGAAACUUACGCUAAUACCGCAUACGACCUACGGGUGAAAGCAGGGGAUCUUCGGACCUUGCGCGAUUGAAUGAGCCGAUGUCGGAUUAGCUAGUUGGCGGGGUAAAGGCCCACCAAGGCGACGAUCCGUAGCUGGUCUGAGAGGAUGAUCAGCCACACUGGAACUGAGACACGGCCCAGACUCCUACGGGAGGCAGCAGUGGGAAAUAUUGGACAAUGGGCGCAAGCCUGAUCCAGCCAUACCGCGUGGGUGAAGAAGGCCUUCGGGUUGUAAAGCCCUUUUGUUGGGAAAGAAAAGCAGCAGGUUAAUACCCCGCUGUUCUGACGGUACCCAAAGAAUAAGCACCGGCUAACUUCGUG